AGAUUGAACGCUGGCGGCAUGGCUAAACAUGCAAGUCGAUCGCGAAGUGGAGCAAUCCAUGAGUAGAGCGGCGAAAGGGUGAGUAAUGCGUUCCUAACGUACCUCAAGGUCAGGGAUAGCCAGGGGAAACUCUGGGUAAUACCUGAUGUGAUCGAGACGAGUACGAAAGGGCUUGCCGCCUUGGACGAGCGGGGAACGUCCUAUCCGAGGUAGUUGGUGAGGUAACGGCUCGACCGAAGCCAUUGGACGGUAGCGGUGUGAGAGCAGUGGCCCGCACAUCGAAACUGACGACACGUGUUCGGACUCCCGUACGGGACGCUGCGAAGGUAACCGAAUCCGUU
rnacentral:rRNA from 1 species